GAUGAACGCUGGCGGCGUGCCUAAUACAUGCAAGUCGAGCGAACGGACGAGAAGCUUGCUUCUCUGAUGUUAGCGGCGGACGGGUGAGUAACACGUGGAUCACCUACCUAUAAGACUGGGAUAACUUCGGGAAACCGGUGCUAAUACCGGAUAAUAUUUUGAACCGCAUGGUUCAAAAGUGAAAGACGGUCUUGCUGUCACUUAUAGAUGGAUCCGCGCUGCAUUAGCUAGUUGGUAAGGUAACGGCUUACCAAGGCAACGAUGCAUAGCCGACCUGAGAGGAUGAUCGGCCACACUGGAACUGAGACACGGUCCAGACUCCUACGGGAGGCAGCAGUAGGGAAUAUUCCGCAAUGGGCGAAAGCCUGACGGAGCCACGCCGCGUGAGUGAUGAAGGUCUUCGGAUCGUAAAACUCUGUUAUUAGGGAAGAACAGAUGUGUAAGUAACUGUGCACAUCUUGACGGUACCUAAUGAGAAAGCAACGGCUAACUUCGUG
rnacentral:rRNA from 1 species